CCGGCGACCGGCGCACGGGUGAGUAACACGUAUGCAACCUGGCCGUCACAGGUGGAUAACCGGAAGAAAUUCCGACUAAUACAGCAUAACACUCCUGAGGGACAUCCCUUGGGAGUCAAAGGAGGCAACUCCGGUGACGGAUGGGCAUGCGGCGCAUUAGGUAGUUGGUAGGGUAACGGCCUACCAAGCCGACGAUGCGUAGGGGUUCUGAGAGGAAGGUCCCCCCACAUUGGAACUGAGACACGGUCCAAACUCCUACGGAAGGCAGCAG
rnacentral:rRNA from 1 species